GAUGAACGCUAGCGAUAGGCUUAACACAUGCAAGUCGAGGGGCAGCAUGGUCUUAGCUUGCUAAGGCUGAUGGCGACCGGCGCACGGGUGCGUAACGCGUAUGCAACUUGCCUCACAGAGGGGGAUAACCCGUCGAAAGACGGACUAAUACCGCGUACACUCUAUGUUGGGCAUCCAAUGUAGAGGAAAUGAAAUUCGCUGUGAGAUAGGCAUGCGUCCCAUUGGCUAGUUGGUGAGGUAACGGCUCACCAAGGCGACGAUGGGUAGGGGAACUGAGAGGUUGAACCCCCACACUGGUACUGAGACACGGACCAGACUCGUACGGGAGGCAGGAGUGAGGAAUAUUGGUCAAGGGGCGAGAGCCUGAACCAGCCAAGUCGCGUGAAGGAUGACUGUCUUAUGGAUUGUAAACUUCUUUUAUACGGGAAUAACAAGAGUCACGUGUGGCUCCCUGCAUGUACCGUAUGAAUAAGCAUCGGCUAACUCCGUG
rnacentral:rRNA from 1 species